GAUGAACGCUGACAGAAUGCUUAACACAUGCAAGUCUUUGGCGAAGCUGUGCUUGCACAGCCUAGCCAAGGCGGACGGGUGAGUAACGCGUAAGGAACUUGCCCUGCAGUCAGGGAUAACAGACGGAAACGACUGAUAAGACCUGGUAAAGUCAGGCGGACUCAUGUCCAGCCUGAUGAAAAGAGAUGCUGCAGGAGAGCCUUGCGUCCUAUUAGCUUGUUGGUGGGGUAACGGCCCACCAAGGCGAUGAUAGGUAGCCGGCCUGAGAGGGUGGACGGCCACAAGGGGACUGAGAUACGGCCCUUACUCCUACGGGAGGCAGCAGUGGGGAAUAUUGGACAAUGGGGGCAACCCUGAUCCAGCAAUUCUGUGUGCACGAUGAAGGUUUUCGGAUUGUAAAGUGCUUUCAGCAGGGAAGAAAAAAAUGACGGUACCUGCAGAAGAAGAGACGGCUAAAUACGUG
rnacentral:rRNA from 1 species